GACGAACGCUGGCGGCGUGCUUAACACAUGCAAGUCGAACGGAAAGGCCCUGCUUUUGUGGGGUGCUCGAGUGGCGAACGUGUGAGUAACACGUGAGUAACCUGCCCUUGACUUUGGGAUAACUUCAGGAAACUGGUGCUAAUACCGGCUAGGAGCUCCUGCUGCACGGUGGUGGUUGGAAAGUUUCGGCGGUUGGGGAUGGACUCGCGGCUUAUCAGCUUGUUGGUGGGGUAGUGGCUUACCAAGGCUUUGACGGGUAGCCGGCCUGAGAGGGUGACCGGCCACAAUGGGACUGAGAUACGGCGCAGACUCGUACGGGAGGCAGCAGUGGGGAAUAUUGCACAAUGGGCGGAAGCCUGAUGCAGCAACGCCGCGUGCGGGAUGACGGCCUUCGGGUUGUAAACCGCUUUCGCCUGUGACGAAGCGUGAGUGACGGUAAUGGGUAAAGAAGCACCGGCUAACUACGUG
rnacentral:rRNA from 1 species